GUGUGUGUGUGUAUAUGUGUGUGUGUGUGUGUGUGUAUUUAGAUAUAUAUAUCUAUAUACACACACAUACAUACAUACAUAAAUACAUAG